rnacentral:rRNA from 1 species
UACGUAGGGUGCGAGCGUUAAUCGGAUUUACUGGGCGUAAAGCGCACGUAGGCGGAUCGUUAAGUCGGGGGUGAAAUCCUGGAGCUCAACUCCAGAACUGCCUUCGAUACUGGCGAUCUUGAGUCCGGAAGAGGUGAGUGGAACUCCUAGUGUAGAGGUGGAAUUCGUAGAUAUUAGGAAGAACACCAGUGGCGAAGGCGGCUCACUGGUCCGGUACUGACGCUGAGGUGCGAAAGCGUGGGGAGCAAACAGG